AACCCUUGUCUUUAGUUGCCAUCAUUAAGUUGGGCACUCUAAAGAGACUGCCGGUGUCAAACCGGAGGAAGGUGGGGAUGACGUCAAGUCCUCAUGGCCUUUAUGACCAGGGCUACACACGUACUACAAUGGCAGGUACAAAGGGCAGCCACUUAGCGAUAAGGCGCGAAUCCCAUAAAACCUGUCUCAGUCCGGAUUGGAGUCUGCAACUCGACUCCAUGAAGUUGGAAUCGCUAGUAAUCGCAGAUCAGCACGCUGCGGUGAAUACGUUCCCGGGCCUU
rnacentral:rRNA from 1 species